GCUGGUGCUUACGCGAAGGGGAUACACCCGUUUCCAUUCCGAACACGGAAGUUAAGUCCUUCAGCACCGAUGAUAGCCAUUUAGGUAAAAGUAGGUCGGCGCCAGCA
rnacentral:rRNA from 1 species